ACGGAGCGGGACAGCCCGUGAUCUGAAACCAGCCCGUGAUUUGAAGAGCAAGAGAGAGUGCGGUGAGCGAUGGUGGAGGGAAGGCUUCAUGAAGCGCCGCAGAUUUUGCAUCCUAACGGCAUUGCGAAGCACCAGAUUCAUUGUUUGAUGCGGUGCUCACGUCUACCAACCAUGAGAGUACGGUUUGUAGUUGACUACCCUUUCGGAAACCCAACCAGUUUUCUUCACUCAAAGCAUUCAUGUUGCAUAGCACCAGCUCACUUCAAAGGAAAACCGGUCAACAAGACUUGAAGAUUUGAGUAAAUGGAAAGUUGUGUGGGUGGGGCUUCGGGGUUGAUAUUUCGUCGUCAGGGGUUGUCAAUUUGGAAUGCUGUGGUUGACGCGAGGCAUGAGCCAUGCCCCACUGAAUGAAUUUUGCAGCAUUGUACUCCGAACUUGAAGAGUAGAAGGUGCCAAAAAGAAUCACCAAACAGAUAAAGAGAGAGAGAGAGAGAGAGUGUGAGGAGGGGUGUUGGCCAUUCUUUUGUGUGACUGACAGGAGUUGUGCUUCAGUGGGUCACUAACCAACUUGUGGUGUCCUUGGAGGGAUUAAAGGUUCUCACCAAUCGCCUUCAUAAUCCUUUCUGUGCACUGUUUUGUUGGAUGGAGGGAGGCCGUGGUGUUUUCAACUAAUAGUGUGCACUUGAUAAGCCCUGUGGUCUCUUUUAGCAAACCGGCCAUAAUCAAUGUCUGCCGGCAAGCUGAGAUUGGAUAACAGUUGAUUCCCUAAAGAAGUGACGUGACGUGAAUUACUGUAUGACAGUCUUCUAAUUUGUUUUUUUUAUUUUCAUUUUCAAUAAAUCAAGACGACAUAGUCGGUGUUAGCCUUCAUACAA